rnacentral:tRNA from 1 species
UGGGGUAUAGCUCAGUGGCAAAGUGCUUACCUAGCAUGCAUGAAUCCCUGAGUUUGAUCCCCAGUACCACAA